GCCAGGCCAGGCUGGGCUUGGCCGGGGUUAGGGCCGGAGCUGGGACGCUCGGCUGGGGCCAGGGCCAGAGUCGGAGCUGAAGAGUGCAGAUCCAGAGCCACUGUGAUCAUGACUAGUUGCCUUUUCAGCCAAGAAGAGCCUCUCUAGCACCACCAACCAGUGCCACUAAAUGAAACCACUUCACCAUCUACAACCCC